UGCUCAGUAGUCAGUGUAGGAUCUGUAUGACUUUACUAAAAACAGCUACAUCUGAUUACUGGGUCAC
rnacentral:pre_miRNA from 1 species